GUUAUAAAACCACAACUGAUAGCCCCACAACCACAGAAAAUGCUGCUCCAACAAAGACACCAUCUUCAGCAAUAACAACGGAAGCUUAUACAACCACAGCUGGGAACCCCACCACCAUGCCUGUGUUCUCUGCACCUCCAGCAACAGAAAAUGCUGCUUCAACAACAACUCCAUUGUCUUUGACAACUAACGCUUCUGCUACCCAAGCUGUGAACCCAAUCAGAAACCAAAAUAACAGCAAAAGCUGCUCCAACAACACCAUUGUCAACAACAAAUGAAACUUUAACAACCAAAGCAAUAAACCCCACAACCAUGCCUGUGUUCCCAGAACCUACAACUGCACCUCCAGCAACAGAAAAUGUGGCUCUAGCAACAACAGCACGGUCUUCAACAAGGGAAGCUUCUACAACCACAGCUGUGAAUCCUACAACCAUGUCUGUAUUUCCAGAACCUACAACAAAUACUGCACCACCAACAACAGCAGUAACUUCAACAACUGACGCUUCUACAAUUACAGACCUGUACCCCACAUCCACACCUUUCUCCUCAGCAAAUACAAGUCCACCGAUAAGAACAAUAAGUGCUGCUCCAACACCCUCCUCAGUCACUAAAGCUUAUACAACCACAGAUGUGGCACCCACUUCCUUGCAUGUUUUCUCAGGACCUACAAUUGCACCUCCAGCAACAGAAAAUGGUGUCCUUACCUCAACACUUCCUUCAAUAUCUUCAACUUCUCUUGUAUCACCAAGCACAACAACCGUAUCUCCAACCACAAUACCACUUUUCACAAAAAACAUAACUGCUGCAGAAACAACAUUUGUUACACCCACAACCAUACCAAUGUUGUCAGAAUUUACAAAAUCAUUUCUAACAACCACAUCUUUGCUAAAUGCAACAACAAAUGCAGUGACUCUGACUAGUCUUUCAGAAACACAAAAUCCAGCUCCAACUGCAUUUGUAUCUCAAAGCACAAAAACUGUGUCUUUAGCAACCACUGCACCAACCAUAAUAAUUGCAACUCAAGAAACCACUAUCCCAUUGUCAAUGUCAGCUACUGGUAUUUCGGCAAUUACAAGUGUGACUCCAAUGAGUACGUCUGGAGCUACAACAAGUGUUCCUAUAAACUCAGCUGCUACAAUUGCAUCAAUUCAAACAACAGCAGUGGUGGCAAGCAAACUGCUAUUCAACUCCUCAUUUCCAGUACUCAGUGAAUCUCAGGUCCUCAGUGUUAUCACUAAUCUCCUGAAAUCCAGAGAGUCACAGCUCAGAGAAUCAUUGAAGGUUGUGAAUUUUACCUAUGAAAAAAUCUCAGAAACCUCAUAUGCUGUGGUCUUCACAUUUAACCUGGUUAACAUCAGCAUGUCAGAAGACCCUGAUCUCAGAGGCAACACCUACCAGCAAGUGAAGGAUAUCAUCAAUAAUGCGCUGAACACUCUUCUGAAUGAACCUGGCAAGGACAUUUUUGAACCCAAAUCUUCCAAUUUUACGAGCUCUUCAAACCAGAUUGAUGGCAGGAUGGACUACACCUUCCAGGAUGGAGAUGCCAUACAACCAGUCAGCUUCCUAAAUGAGCUACGUCUGCCAACCACUACAACAGUUCUUCCAGAAACAACAACUGGUUUCUCUGUGACCCUUUCAAAUCUCAUAUCUGUUACAGCAGUGGUCACAAGCAAGCUGGUGUUCAACUCCUCAUCUCCAGUCCCCAGUGAAGCUCUGGUCCUCAGCGCUAUCAACACUCUCCGUCAUUCCAGAGAGUCACAGCUGAAUGAAUCAGUGAAGGUGGUGAAUGUCACCUAUGAGAAAAUUUCGGAAUCUUCCUAUGCUGUCAUUUUUAAAUUUAAUAUGAGUGACAUUAGUAUGCCAAUGGACUCUGGACUCAGAAACAACAUCUACCUGCAAGUACAGGAUACUAUCAAUAAAGCGAUAAACACUCUUCUGAAUGAACCUAGCAGUCCAGCUUUACAACCCAACUCAUCCAACUUUAAGAGUCCAUUAAAUCAGAUUGAGGGCAGUAUGGAGUACAACUUCCAAGAUGCAGAUGUUAGAAAACCAGUCAGGUUCCUACAGGCGCUUAGUUCAUUGACAGUCUUAACAACAGCCAGUACUCUGGCAUCAAGCUCAGCUUCUCCACCAACAUUGUUGGGGAAGGUUUAUAUAAAAAUCCAAUUGGAGUUUCACACACUGGGUCCAAAACCUAGUAAGGAUUACAUUCUAAACUUGGCCAACUCUAAGCUCAACCCACGUUACAGAAAUAAAGAAGACGCAACACCAACCCAGGUUACUAGCCUUGUGGGUAUUACCUAUACAGGACUUAAUGAUACCUCAUAUGCUCUCACAUUUGAAUUUGAAAUCAGUAAUGUACUCAUGUCUGAGAAACGUGAACUAAGGAAUGAAACCAAAACUUCAAUCAAAAGCACUAUAAAUACAUUGCUUGUCGACAUCCUAAAGGAUCCCUCAGCUUCUCAGUUUGAUCUGCAAAACGUUAAAUUUGAUGAUAAUAGCACAGUGAUUCUGGCCAGUGUGCAGUAUGUUUUCUCACAAAGUGACUUGAACACAAACAGCACCUUUGUCAAGGAAAUAUUCAGUGCUAAGGAAGUCUUAACGACAGCCAGUGCUCUGACAACAAGCACAACUUCUCCGCCAACAUUGCUUGGGAAGGUGAUCAUAUACAUCCGCCUUGUUUUUAAAACACGGGGUACUAUCCCAAGUGAGAGUAACGUUGUAAAUGUGGCUAACACCCUGUUGAGUGGAAUGAAACUGAGAAUUAAACGAUCCCUCACAACAAAACUUCCGACUGAGAAUGUGAACUUUGUGAAUGUCACCUAUACAAAAAUUGAUGAUAACUCCUUCUCUCUGAACUUUGGAUUUGAAAUCAGCAAUGUGUCCAUGUCUGAAAAAGUUGAAUUCAGGAAUGAGACCUACACAGAGAUCCAGAAAUAUAUAAAUUCAUUUGUGUCCACGAUCCUGAAUAAAACAACAACUACUAACUUUAAUUUCAAUCAAAUCGUUUUCAAGGGAAACUCCACCGUGAUUGAGGCCAACGUAGAGUAUGUUUUCACAGACAGUGACAUCGGCAGCUUCGGCUUGGUCUUUACUUUGCUUGGACCUACUACAACAGCCGCUCCAACCACCUAUUACCCCACAGUCCUGACCACUGCAAUCUUAAACAAUAGUACAAACGCAGCAUGGGUUGUGGCUAUCAUUGUCCCCUGCGCUAUUGUCAUUGGGCUCGUACCUUGCUGGAUUCUUCUUUGCUGUUUGCUGUGUGGUUGCUGUGGAGCAAUCAGGAGACGUUGGCACAGAAGACGGUCAUACAAUGUACAGUACACAACUCGAAACAGCAUCUUCUAGAGAUUUUCAAGAACAGACUUUGAUGCUUAAAAUAUUAAUUUUCCUGUAUUGCUGGGCAUACAGAACCUCUCUAAAUGUGAUGCAACUGUGAUUUAAAAAACAACAACUUCUAUUUAAGGAAUGAUUUUAUUUAUUUAAAAAACUGUUAUGUAAAGUAAUGAGAAUCUUGUUUUCUAAAUGAAAGAUUAAUUUGGUAGUAUGUAUUUAAUGUUAUGGGAAAAAUAUAAAAUGUGUUGAUCACUUCUUUAUUCAAACUUAAUGUACUUUAUCUAAUAUAACAUAUUGCACUCUGAUGACAUAUUUAUGUACGAAUCCACAAUUCAUCUUUUAAGACUGUAGUUAAAAACUAUAAUUUAAUAAAACAAUUCAAUAUCAAUAUGAGAACAUUAU
ensembl:lncRNA